CUAAUUUAAUAAUACUAGAUAUUUAAACUUAGCGCCAUUUGCAUUAGUAUCAUUCAUUCUAUUGUAGAUGUCAGAAGCAUACAGAAAUCAAUUUUGAUUCAAGGUAGUGAACUAUGUUUCACAUUACAAGAUAUAAAUAGACAUGAUUAGAAGACUUGUAGAAUAAAGUGAGACGUAGAACUUAAUGAAAAAUUAUUUCAAAAAUGUGAAAAAUAAUCAUAUAUAUAACAAUUCAUGUGAAUAUAAUACAUUAAUAUCGAGCACCUUUCACAGUGGUCAUGUAAUUGAUUUCUGAAGAUCCAGGUAUUGUAUAUCCAGCUACAACUGACAUACGUUUUAAAGCAGAAGAAAAGUGAUGUCUUUGUACGAUUUUUAAGACAGCUUUCUCAAGAGGAUCUCCAACAAUUCCAUCAUCUAAUUGUACAAGAGAAUGGCAUGUUGCAAGUACUUGAAUACUUUCUAUAGGCGCAUCAGAAAGUUGCAUAACAUCUGGUUUUCCUCUAAAAUAAUAAAUGAUUUUUUAAUAUAAA